GAGCGGCCACUGUUGGGGCCCUCGAAAGAGGUGUCGGUCCUCUGGGAGUCGGAAGAGCUGUCUGGGAUUAUUUGAGGUGUAGAGGGUGGGAAGCGAAGCCGAGACGGCCGACCCCGCCACGAUGCUGCUGAAGAAGCACGCAGGGAAAGGAGGGGGCCGGGAGCCCAGAUCCGAGGACCCGACCCCUGCCGAACAGCAUUGUGCCCGGACCAUGCCCCCGUGUGCCGUCCUGGCGGCCCUCCUGUCAGUGGUGGCCGUGGUGUCUUGCCUGUACCUGGGUGUGAAAACCAACGACCUCCAGGCGAGGAUCGCCGCUCUCGAAUCCGCCAAAGGGGCCCCUUCCAUUCAUCUGCUGCCUGAUACCCUGGAUCACCUCAAGACUAUGGUGCAAGAGAAAGUGGAGCGACUUCUGGCUCAGAAAUCCUAUGAACAUAUGGCUAAAAUAAGAAUCGCAAGAGAAGCACCUUCAGAAUGUAACUGCCCAGCAGGCCCUCCAGGGAAACGAGGUAAGAGAGGCCGAAGAGGAGAAUCUGGUAAGUCUGGACAGCCUGGUCCUCAGGGCCCUCCUGGUCCAAAAGGCGAUAAGGGAGAACAAGGUGAUCAGGGACCUAGGGGUCCUCUAGGGCCUCCGGGACAAAAGGGUUCUAUUGGAGCACCUGGAAUUCCAGGGAUGAAUGGGCAAAAGGGUGAGCCCGGGUUGCCUGGAGCAGUAGGACAGAAUGGAAUACCAGGACCUAAGGGAGAACCUGGAGAACAAGGUGAAAAGGGAGACGCUGGAGAGAACGGCCCCAAGGGUGACACAGGCGAAAAGGGUGACCCUGGAUCAUCUGCUGCAGGAAUUAAGGGAGAACCUGGGGAAUCUGGUCGUCCAGGGCAAAAGGGUGAACCAGGGCUUCCUGGGCUUCCUGGACUUCCGGGGAUAAAGGGAGAACCAGGUUUCAUUGGUCCUCAAGGAGAACCAGGCUUACCAGGUUUACCAGGAACAAAAGGUGAACGGGGGGAAGCAGGGCCUCCUGGAAGAGGUGAGCGAGGGGAACCUGGAGCCCCCGGACCAAAGGGGAAACAAGGUGAAUCAGGAACUAGAGGCCCAAAGGGGUCAAAGGGGGAUCGUGGAGAAAAAGGGGACUCUGGAGCUCAGGGACCAAGGGGUCCACCUGGUCAAAAAGGGGAUCAAGGAGCCACUGAGAUCAUAGACUACAACGGCAACCUCCACGAAGCCUUACAGAGGAUUACCACCUUAACUGUCACGGGUCCCCCUGGACCUCCUGGACCUCAAGGACUACAAGGGCCAAAGGGAGAGCAGGGAUCUCCAGGAAUCCCAGGAAUGGAUGGAGAGCAGGGACUCAAAGGCUCAAAGGGAGACAUGGGGGACCCAGGGAGCCAAUGGAAUGAAAGGAGAAAAAGGAGAUUCUGGAAUGCCGGGUCCACAGGGUCCUUCUAUCAUAGGCCCACCAGGCCCACCAGGUCCCCAUGGCCCACCUGGCCCCAUGGGACCUCAUGGACUUCCUGGACCAAAGGGAGCAUCUGGCUUAGACGGAAAGCCAGGAUCCCGGGGUACAGAUGGUCCUAUGGGACCCCAUGGCCCUGCAGGUCCCAAAGGAGAAAGAGGUGAAAAAGGAGCUAUGGGAGAGCCUGGACCAAGAGGGCCCUAUGGGCUGCCUGGGAAAGAUGGAGAGCCUGGUCUUGAUGGCUUCCCUGGUCCACGGGGUGAGAAGGGUGAUCUAGGAGAAAAGGGAGAAAAGGGGGAAAAGGGAAAGAAAGGCAAAAAGGGGCCUAAAGGGGAGAAAGGAGAACAGGGUGCUCCUGGAUUAGAUGCACCCUGCCCGUUGGGGCCAGAUGGCUUACCCAUGCCUGGCUGUUGGCAAAAGUGAUGAAUCUAACCUUUCAAGCAUGAAGUUGUGUAUAUAAGGGUCCAUUUUUAAUAUUUAUAGUUGAAAACUGAAUUGCAGAUUUUACAAGUCUGAGAUAUGUUUACAUAGGGCUGCUUCUUCCUGCUGGCAGUAGUAUACAUGUCCAUUUUUACUCCACUUACAUCUGAAAUUGGGCAAUUUGUGAAACCAGUGAGAAUCCUGCAAAAAAUAUAGAUCAGUAUCUCCUUAUCUUAUGUGAAGAUACGUAUUUAUAUGGACAAAUCAGUGGUAGAGAAUGAUUGAUUGUACUAGCUAUUUUCCUUCUUUUGGCUUGCUAAUUGCAUGGACAAAAAGUGCCAUGAAAUAGUUUACAUGAAAUGGUGACCAAAUAUGGACUCAAAGCUAUGAAAAUGUACUAUACUGACUGAUUUUAGAGCUGAUUAUCACAUUCCCAUUCACCUUUCAUGUCGGCGUUGACUCAUACCUACACCACCCAUUGAAACUAACUAAAAAAGCAUGACUGUGUGCCAAACCUGCUUGCUGUGCAACUUCAGAUGCUAGCAUGUUGAUCAGGAGUCCUUUGAUUACAUCUGAACCUUUAUUCCUUUUGUCAUCUCAAGGGGGUUACACCAUGGCUUAUUGCCAAAAAGAGAUAAGGUGGCGGAGAGCACACACACAAUUUGUCUUGUAUUUUGAGGGAGUUGCAGUCCUGACUGCAGAUCUACAGCUUCCAGUAUUGUGGGCUCAUGUGGCCACUUUGGUUGAAAUACGAAGGGGUUGAGCCUGUUGCUGCCACCAGUUUUCCUUGGGCUGCCCUUGGCAGUGAAGACAUGGGAAGAGGACCGAUUCAGCCUCCAGCACUGCCUCUCAUGUGACCAAGUAGGAAAGAGGUUUACAAAUGCAAACAUGCAGAACCACAGACUUUAAAAAUAUGUAUAAAUAAACUGAAUUUCAGCAAGUGUUAAUAUAGGUGCUUUUAAAAAUGACAGAGGCACAGCACUUCUUUUGGAAUAGGAGAUUCUUGGAAUGGGAGAUCCUGUCCCUGAGGGAAAAGGGAUGUCCAUCCCACCAAAACUUGGGUUGCUGAAGAAAUAACAUGUUCUGAGAAGGGAUCAGCCAAAAUCGCCUCUCCCGAUGAUAUAGGAGAGCUUACUGGGACAAUCUGUGCCAAAGUUGUUGUGAGAGCUUUCCUUCCUCCUACGAUCCAACCAUGUCAAACAUUUCCUACAAAGUUUGAGAAACAGACCAAAUCUAAGAUCUCAGAAAGCUGUGAAAUAUAGUUGCCAUAAAGAAAAUAUUUUUCAUCUACUUGCUCAAACUUUACCUAACCAUAUUAGAUGGAACAUUUCUUUGCACAGUAAAGAGUUGGUAGCGUGUUUUGAAAUGGCUUAUUCUAAGUGGAAGUGUUACAUUGAAAGAAACAUUAUCAAUGAGGAGUAGGCACCCUUUCAGCCCAUUAGAGAAUUUAAUUUCUCUCCUGACUCAAUGCCAUCUUCUGGGAAGAUUUCUAGUUUCAUGCAUAGGUGUCACCACCAGAAGGGAAAUUAACUCAUCCUUGGCUUAUAGUUAAGAUAUAACCAUAAGACAAGGAACCUAAAAUCCUCAUGAUCUCAUUUAUGUUAUGUAACCAAAUGACAGUCAUACAAAAUGGCAUCUUCUUUUUUUUCUAUUAAAUUUUUAAGGUUGAAAGAUGUUUAAACUAUUAGAUCAGUCUAAUUGGUAACAUUUCUGGUAACAUUCCACACCCCUAAGCCAGUUUAGCAUUUUGAAAAUAAUGGAGGACAUUUUCUAACAAUUUCUUGUAUGGCAUGGUGUUAGGAUAACGUAUUGCUCAAUGUCUGACACAAUUUGUCUUAAAUGGUUUGGAAAAAUGAACUGAAGUGGGUGGAACUACAUUCUCUUCAGGAAAACAAACUACAGUGUCCAGUGGCUAUAUUUUUUUCCCUUCUAUCUUUUUUUCUGCUCCUCUAGUAGAAAGAGGUGGAUUGAAAUGGAUCACUAUUUAAAACUUGCACAGCUUCAGGAGACGAUACCUCAACAUCAAAAGAAAAACACUUUAUGUAUAAAAAAAUUUUUUGAAAUACAGCCCUUCAAAGAAUACUAUUCUGUCCUGUGUGUAUAUUGAGUUUUUGCUCUAUAACUGAUUUGACAACAUCAACUUAUUUCAUGAUUAAAUGAGGUUGUAAACUUUCAUUACAUUUAUUUCCUUGGGAAAAACAAAGGGAUGGAAAUACUCCUCCUUGUUCAGUGGAAUUGCUAGGUCUUAACCAUGAUGGAUAAUCUUUAACUUUUGGUUACUACAAUGUUUUCAAGCAUCCAUUUUGUCAUAUAGAGAAUUCUUAAAUAAUUUCUAAGUGAAUGAAAGAAUUGUGUUUGUUGAUAUGUGUUGAUAGAUAAUAUACUUUCCUUAAAGAUUUCUUUAAUGUGUGUUAUUGGAUAGAGGGUUGAGAAAAUAUACAUGAAAGACACAUUGGAAAUAAGGCAAGGUCAGUUUCUAUUUCUAAUAAAACAUUGAAGGAUAGCAAAUUGAUAUGUGUUUUAGAUUUAAAAUUGUUUUUCAUUUAUGUUGGUUGGUGCUAAUGUAUCUCUUUUCCUUUUUCUCUAUGGACAAUACAACUACUAUGGAUAAUUUUAUUUCCCUGUUUAAUAGCAUUCCUAAAUCAUUAGUGUGUUAUUUUAUUUUUAAAGUUCAUGAAUUUGCUAUAAUUAUGGUCCAAUGACCAGGCUUUCUUAAUGUAAAACAAAACAGUGUACCAAUAGAUGAUGUGUGUUUACUCGGA
rnacentral:lncRNA from 1 species